UUAAAAAGCUCGUAGUUGAAUUUCGGGAUCAAUGUUUCGGUCAUGCCGUUGGUAUGUACUGAUAUUAUUGAUUUCUCACCUUCUAAAGAACCUUAAUGCCAUUAAUUUGGUGUCACGGGGAAUUAGGACUGUUACCUUGAAAAAAUUAGAGUGUUUAAAGCAGGCUCACGCUUGAAUACUUUAGCAUGGAAUAAUGAAAUAGGACAUCCGAUUCUAUUUUGUUGGUUUCUAGGAUCGAUGUAAUGAUUAAUAGGGAUAGUUGGGGG
rnacentral:rRNA from 1 species